GAUGAACGCUGGCGGCGUGCCUAAUACAUGCAAGUCGAGCGAACAGACGAGGAGCUUGCUCCUCUGACGUUAGCGGCGGACGGGUGAGUAACACGUGGAUAACCUACCUAUAAGACUGGGAUAACUUCGGGAAACCGGAGCUAAUACCGGAUAAUAUAUUGAACCGCAUGGUUCAAUAGUGAAAGACGGUUUUGCUGUCACUUAUAGAUGGAUCCGCGCCGCAUUAGCUAGUUGGUAAGGUAACGGCUUACCAAGGCAACGAUGCGUAGCCGACCUGAGAGGGUGAUCGGCCACACUGGAACUGAGACACGGUCCAGACUCCUACGGGAGGCAGCAGUGGGGAAUCUUCGGCAAUGGGCGAAAGCCUGACGGAGCAACGCCGCGUGAGUGAUGAAGGUCUUCGGAUCGUAAAGCUCUGUUAUUGGGGAAGAACAAAUGUGUAAUUAACUAUGCACGUCUUGACGGUACCUAAUGAAAAAGCCACGGCUAACUACGUG
rnacentral:rRNA from 1 species